rnacentral:rRNA from 1 species
GAUGAACGCUGGCGGCGUGCCUAAUACAUGCAAGUCGAGCGAACAGACGAGGAGCUUGCUCCUCUGACGUUAGCGGCGGACGGGUGAGUAACACGUGGAUAACCUACCUAUAAGACUGGGAUAACUUCGGGAAACCGGAGCUAAUACCGGAUAAUAUAUUGAACCGCAUGGUUCAAUAGUGAAAGACGGUUUUGCUUUCACUUAUAGAUGGAUCCGCGCCGCAUUAGCUAGUUGGUAAGGUAACGGCUUACCAAGGCAACGAUGCGUAGCCGACCUGAGAGGGUGAUCGGACACACGGGAACUGAGACACGGUCCAGACUCCUACGGGAGGCAGCAGUAGGGAAUCUUCCGCAAUGGGCGAAAGCUUGACGGAGCAACGCCGCGUGAGUGAUGAAGGUCUUCGGAUCGUAAAACUCUGUUAUUAGGGAAGAACAAAUGUGUAAGUAACUAUGCACAUCUUGACGGUACCUAAUCAGAAAGCCACGGCUAACUACGUG